UAAGGUUCCUCUAGCUAUACGACCUAUGGUAGAUAAAAAGAGUUCCCCACUUUAUGAGCUAGAAAAAACAAUUGCAGAAUGGGCACUACCACAUCUUCGAGGAUAUAUAUAUACCACCACAUCCUCCCUUGACUUUCUAGAAAGGUUACUGGAAUCCGGCCCCUUCCCAGGGGAAAGGUAUACAGUCAUGGAUUAUGAAGCCCUGUUUCCUUCUAUAUACCAAGCUCCUGCGACGGUGAUGUUAUACAGGUUUAUACUAGAACACCUACCUGGAGAAGAAAUACACCCUGCUACCAUAAGGGACAUAUGCCACAUAAUU
rnacentral:lncRNA from 1 species